rnacentral:rRNA from 1 species
GACGAACGCUGGCGGCGUGCUUAACACAUGCAAGUCGAGCGGUAAGGCCCUUUCGGGGGUACACGAGCGGCGAACGGGUGAGUAACACGUGGGUGACCUGCCCUCAGCUCUGGGAUAAGCCUGGGAAACCGGGUCUAAUACUGGAUAUGACUCCAUGACGCAUGUUGUGGGGUGAAAGCCUUGUGCGGCUGAGGAUGGGCCCGCGGCCUAUCAGCUUGUUGGGUGGGG